GGGCAUUUGAAAAUCAGUGGCCGUUAGGGUGUUUUGACGCGAAGGUGUGGAGUAUUGCGCGAGCACUGAACCGUCUGAGAAAUUUCACACAUAUAAGUUCGCGAUAUUACGAUAUACUAUUAAUAUAGGUUUAAUACAGCGUAGGAACGAUUGUGCGUUUUGACACGAUAUAUCGGCCCUCGUUGACUGAUUAAUUUCGUCUUGGACAGUUGUUCGACACGUCUGAGAAGUUACGAAGAAGUGUGUCAAGCGAGGAAACGUCAUUUUAGGUAGAUUGACACGCGGUAUUGAUCGACAUCUCCGUUAAUUGCUAACAAUGAAUAGCAUUGACCUCAUCUGAUCUCAUUAUAUUGCAGCUGAAGGGUUAUAUCUAGGCUGUUCACGUUCAAAGCACAAAGCGUGGUUGGUACAAUAAUAUAAACGCACUCAAUAAUUGUGUCCACUCAACGAUCGUCUAUAUAGAUGAAGAAUAGCAAGAGAAGGCAAGUGAAAAUUCAUAUUUUUAACACGUUUGGUUACUCAAUAAAUACUUCAUGUUUCAUAAAUUGGUUUAUAAAUACAUAGAAGUCUUGGUCGUAGAUUUUUUUUGAGGCCUUGUCGCUAUUUAAAUUAUCAUGUAGCUUCUGUAAUUAUCUAAAAUGAGAUUGUCAUUUAGAAUUCGAUUUCGUUUUAUAUAAUAUUUAACUACCAAAAUAAUG